AGCUCCCGCAGACCCCCGGGCACUUAAACGGCAGAGACCCUGAGAGAGGAGCCCCUCGGAGGUUGAGAGAGGGGUAGAAGGACCAAUAGGUCCGUCCCUCUGACAUCGGGUCACCGUUUCGGGGUAGGCGGAGGCCUGCUUGUCUCUAAAGGCAUCCACCUGCAUCGAUUCAAAUCCUGUAUCAACUACCUACUAGCUGUGUGACCUCGGACAGAUGACUUAACCUCUCUGAUCCUCAGAUCCCGCACCUCUAAAAAGAGAAUGUUAACACCUGUAUCCAAGGGGUCCUGGAGAGUUCAGGAAGACACUGCAGCAACGUACCCGUCGGGGCUACGGUCGAGAAGGAAAGGGGAACCAGAUGAAGUCACGAGGGCAGAUGUAGCUACACGGGCAAACGGCGGAGCCCCUGUGCACCCGAAAUCCCGGUUCCUCGUUCUCACACGCGCGUGUGCACCCGCCUGACUCCUCUAUCCUCCAGCCGACCUUUUAAAAACAGUUCAGGAGUUUGACGUGAUCUGAUUGCCAGAUUCAUUCUAAGAUCCCAGUGAUGGAUGAAAGCUGAAAUACUCAUCAGCCGUAAAGUAUUUGUAUUACAAAAAUGAGUACUUGAAGCAACACCCUGAUUACCCUCCCCAAAGGGGCACAGAUGGUAACAGCGUCAACUCCACGCGCCCGCAAACCCUAACCUCUACUAGGCUUCUAAUCUAAGCAGUGCCCACAGCCAACAAAGUCAUCAAGAAUGGGCACCAAGCACAGGCUGUUCAACUUCCCCGGACAGAACCGGGGGAGAAGGAGCUCUCCCACGCCACCAGCCAAGGGGACAGAUGUGACCAGCUUCCUAAAUGUCUUUCCUAGGGGCAGAAGAGAAACUUCUGGGGCAAGGUGUGACAGGGCAAGAUCCUGAUAGGGGAGCAUGCGAACAGCUCCCUGCGACGACGUGUGACCUGGAGAGAUGGCCCCUAAUUUCUCGGGAGGGAUUUCUAAGACCAAAAGCCAAACAGCUGCUGACCAGUGGGUGCCCCAGGACGUCUGCCUGUUUUACUGAAUCCUGCUGAAUGCGGAAGGGUGUGUCCAGGCUGAGGAGGGUGCAUUUGAUGGCAGUCAAGGGCAGCCCGGUUUCUUAUUUUAAAAGUGAAACAGAGAAACACUUAUCUGAUGCACUUGGGAGAGUAGUUGACGAAGAAACACGCAUUUGUGAAGGAUUCAUAGACAGAGACGAUGCCACUGUAACUGAAAAGAUGUAAUUUGUUGGCUGGUCUUUGAUCCCAGAACCAAGUUCUGUUCUUCGAGCGAGAUCUCCUUAUGAGCAAACCCAGGAUGAAUUCAGCUGGGACCCAGUUAUAAUCGACAUUUCUCUACUUUUUCUUUCCUUUUCUUAAAAGUUUUUUUUAACGUUUACUUAUUUUGAGAGAGAGAGAGGGAGAGAGACAGGGUGCGAGUGGGGGAGGGGCAGAGGGAGAGGGAGACACAGAAUCCGAAGCAGUUUCCAGGCUCCGAGCUGUCAGCACAGAGCCCGACGCGGGGCUCGAACCCUCGAACCCAAAGAUCAUGACCUGAGCUAAAGUUGGUCACUCAACCGAUGGAGCCCCCCAGGCGCCCCUCUCUACUUUUUC